rnacentral:lncRNA from 1 species
UGAUACUGCUUGGAUCAAUUUGCAAUCCAAUGGAAGUGGGAGAAAAGACAAGAUAAAUUUCUUGUGCAAGGAGAAAGAUAACUUUCAUUCAAAUACUUGGAUGCCUUCUCAUUACAAUUCAUGACUAUUUAUAGGCAAGUCAUGGGUAACAUGAAAAGACAAAAGAAAAUAAAAGAUCAAAAGUCACCUUAAUAUGGGUAACUCACACAAUAAAAGACAUCAAAACCAACUAAAUUCUCUUAGGGAAUUUAAAAGGUCAAAAGACACCUGCCUCUUGAAAUACCUAUAACUUUCCAACCAUAACUCGGAUUUUAAUGCUCUUAGGCUUGUUGGAAAGAAGAGAAAGAGACCUGAAACCUUUAUGUUAAUAACUUUUCUAAAUUCGGCCAUUUAAUACUCUGAAAAUGGCAUG